rfam:Salmo salar isolate Sally breed double haploid chromosome ssa10, whole genome shotgun sequence.
UGUAUUCACUACUGUAAGUCGCUCUGGAUAAGAGCGUAUCCUAAAUGACUAAAA